rnacentral:lncRNA from 1 species
UCUCAGUAUCAAAUGAGCAAUAAUUUGCUGUGGCUACAUGCUGGAUAAUGAAAGAUGUUAGCAGGAUCAAUAAAAAAUGAAAACACUUUUACUUACAUCUUGAGUUACUGUUUUAAGAGAGCGAGAGAUGUAACAAACCCAAAGCCAGGUUCAGAGCCACCCAACACACCCCUCAAAACCCCAAGGCACACAGUUUUGUCACCACCUGACUGGCCCUUCCAGAAUGCCAGGCCUCCACCUUUUCCCUCAGGAGAGUAGAUUAUUUACAUUAAAUUAACCCUGUAGAGACCAGUAAUAAUUUAACUGCCAGGGUUUAAAAUUUUUCUUUUGUUUCCUAAAGCCAGGAAUACAUUUUAAAUUGUUUUCCACCAGGAUUAAAGGUCACGUAAUAGGUUGCAGUUUACCAAAAAAGUGUGCAAGUGUCCCAGAGCUGAUCUGUCUGUUGAAAUGCCUCAAAAUGUGCAUCUGACCCAGAUGCCUAGGAGGGCAAAAGAAUAGAUUUAAUUCCUUUGGAUUUGUUCUGUGUUGCCAUUUAAUCUGUAAAGUUCAGACCCUAAACUCGAUUUUUUCCAGACAAGUUAAUUCCCCCAUCUUCUUUCAUAAUCAUUUCAUCUGUUUAAUUUGUUUUCCAUUUGGAUUGGGUUUAUUUGUACUUUCCAGUCUGCUUUUCUCACCACUCAAUCCCAAACGUUUUCUUACAUAUCUGGUUGUUAAGGAACAUACUGUGAAACAAUCAGAGACACAUUCUACAUUUUUAAAAGAUACCAAGACGUAAAAGACGAGAAAAACAUCCCGGGUGCUCUGCAUAAACCACACGCAACGAAAAAGCUCACCGCCAGACAGCUUCCAGCACUCGAACCAAUACAAGUAAAGCACAUUUGCAAAUGUGUUUGACUGUUUUUGUAGGUUUAAGAAGACUACGUUUUUCUGACCACUUCAAAAAAACAAACACGAAUUCAGCCGCUGCUUUAAUAACCUCUGACCAGAGGAGCUGAUUUUGCCACCGAGUUAUCGGUCAGUGCUGCGAGGUCAGUGGCCUGUGAUCAUGUUUAUAGCAGGUUUGGCUUGGAUUUGGUGACACAGCCAGCAAACCUGGGAGAUUAUGAAACCGUGAACCAGCCCAGGGAAGUGUAGUCAAGUUUCAGUUUGGGCAUUUCUCCGGGUGAGGGAAUCCGGUGGGCUCCAUUUCUACAAGGCUCACAAACGCAGACAGGAACAGGAUGGCCUCCUGCCCGAAGACUUUCUCUGCAGCCAGGCCCGGGGCAGGAGGGUCAGCUGGGCAGCAUCCGGGCCCGCGGAUUCCUGCAAGGUCGCGAGGACCAGAAGUGCUGCCGCCAGGACAUGGUCCCAGGAGAGAGCUCCCACGCAGAAUAUUAGAAUUACAGCCCCGGCCAUUGAGGUGGAUGAAAGCUGAGCCUUGCUGCGCCAACUUGAGUCUCGUUCACCCUGAGCAGUCACAGAUGGGUCUUGUCUUUUCAGAUGCUCCACGAGGCCAUUGUCACAAUUCCAAGAGCCUGCUGGAUCUUUGAUGCUAAAAGCAGAAUGGACUGAGAGAUGCCUUGGACAUAAGUGAUUUCACAUCUGUAACUAUAUCCUGCAAACAUUUGUAGACACAUCUUGGGAAAGAAGCACUCAUGCUUGCAUCUGUUUCCAACAUCUGUGCAUUUAAGUCAGCAACAAAAGUCACCAGGCAUUUGAGCUUUCCCUGCUAUAAUGUUUCUGAUUUACCUUGACAGCGUGAGUAAUCCAAUCAAAGACAAUAUUCCUCUUGAUUUCAGUAAUGAGAGAGACUACACUUAUCUGAAACCUGUGUUACAUUCAUCUCACCAAUACAGUACUAAUGAAAAGGACAAAUAACUGAGUCUCUCUUGGUGGCCUGCAUGCAACUGCUUAAAUACAUAAGUGCAUAGCAACAAUAUGUGAAUAACAUAUAAAAAUAAAUAUGUUCAAGUGCAGCAGGGUGAGUGGGUUUUGUAGGGUCAGUGGCGUGAAUGGGGGUUAAUUUCUGUUCAGUCAGGUGAGGUACAAAUGCAUCAACUUUGCUGGAAAAUAGUUCCAAUUGUGGCUAAAUGGUCUAGUUUCCUGCAGGAUACAAGCAGCCUAUUAUUUAGUGUUUUAAAAGGCUUGUUCAAAUUUGACCAUUUGUAUGGGAAUCAAUACAACAGAGGAUGGGGACAAAUAUCAGAGGUCACACCAAGCACAUCAUCAAGGGCAGGUCCAAGUGCCCAUAAUUUCUCCAAUAAUCCAGGGGACAAAACCCCUUUUGGUCUGGUG